rnacentral:rRNA from 1 species
CCCUUAGAUGUUCGGGGCCGCACGCGCGCUACACUGAAGGAAUCAGCGUGCUCUUGUCCUGGUCUGGAAAGACUGGGUAACCCGUUGAACCUCCUUCGUGCUAGGGAUUGGGGCUUGCAAUUAUUCCCCAUGAACGAGGAAUUCCUAGUAAGCGCAAGUCAACAGCUUGCGUUGAUUACGUCCCUGCCCUUUGUGCACACCGCCCGUUGCUACUACUGAUUGGAUGUUUAAGCGAGGUUCUCGAACUGCUAGCGACUUAGCUUCGGUGAGGUCGCCGUGUGGGAAGUGAACCUAGCUUUGGUGUCUAGAGGAAGUAAAAGUCGUAUCA